rnacentral:rRNA from 1 species
CGAGCACGCGCGUGUGGCAUAUCAAUAAGCGGAGGAAAAGAAACUAACAAGGAUUCCCUUAGUAACGGCGAGUGAAGCGGGAAGAGCUCAAAUUUGAAAUCUUCAAGGUUCUACCUUGACGAAUUGUAGUUUAUAGAAGUGUUUUCUGUUAGUAGAGUGGCAAAAGUUCUUUGGAAUAGGACAUCAUAGAGGGUGAGAAUCCCGUAUUUGGUCAUUCUUUCUAGCUUUGUGAUACACUUUCAACGAGUCGGAUUGUUUGGGAACGCAGUCCAAAAUGGGUGGUAAAUUUCAUCUAAAGCUAAAUAUUGGCGAGAGACCGAUAGCGAACAAGUACCGUGAGGGAAAGAUGAAAAGAACUUUGAAAAGAGAGUUAAACAGUACGUGAAAUUGUCAAAAGGGAAGCGUUUGACACCAGUGUUGUUUUUCCGAAAAUCAAUUACGAAUGUUUUGUUUUUGAGGAGUUAUGACUUCAUCGGCUUGCUCCUUUCUUUACGAAACUUUCUUAAUGCACUUUUCGGUUAACAAGUCAACAUCAAUUUCUUUUGUUGUAAAAGGGUAUGAGGAAGGUGGCUUUCUUUUCGGAGAAAGUGUUUAUAGCCUUGUGCCUCUGCAAUCGGAGAGAUUGAGGUCUGCAGCGUAGAUCCUUCGGGGUUAGAUACGUUUGUGCUAAGUUAUAGCUUUUCAUAGACAACUUGUUGACUAUGUUAAGUCUUGUAGCUUACUCGCUUAUGCUAUUUUACCUACGCUUAGGAUGUUGAUGUGAUACUGCGAGC